GGUGAGGUGCGAGAGUGGUUGAAUCGACGCGAUUGGAGAUCGCGCAUCCCGAGUAAUCGGGAUCGAGGGUUCGAAUCCCUCCCUCACCG
rnacentral:tRNA from 1 species